AGUGAACGCUGGCGGUAGGCCUAACACAUGCAAGUCGAACGGCAGCACAGUAAGAGCUUGCUCUUACGGGUGGCGAGUGGCGGACGGGUGAGGAAUACAUCGGAAUCUACUUUUUCGUGGGGGAUAACGUAGGGAAACUUACGCUAAUACCGCAUACGACCUACGGGUGAAAGCAGGGGAUCUUCGGACCUUGCGCGAUUGAAUGAGCCGAUGUCGGAUUAGCUAGUUGGCGGGGUAAAGGCCCACCAGGGCGACGAUCCGUAGCUGGUCUGAGAGGAUGAUCAGCCACACUGGAACUGAGACACGGUCCAGACUCCUACGGGAGGCAGCAGUGGGGAAUACUGGACAAUGGGCGCAAGCCUGAUCCAGCCAUACCGCGUGGGUGAAGAAGGCCUUCGGGUUGUAAAGCCCUUUUGUUGGGAAAGAAAAGCAGCAGGUUAAUACCCCGCUGUUCUGACGGUACCCAAAGAAUAAGCACCGGCUAACUUCGUG
rnacentral:rRNA from 1 species